rnacentral:lncRNA from 1 species
UUGAUUGUUUCCUUUGCAGUGAAGAAGCUUUUUAGUUUGAUGCCAUUCCAUUUAUUCAUUCUUGGUUUUACUUCUUAUGCUUUAGGAAUCUUGAAAAUGUCUGUCAUGUGGACAUUCCACUCAUUUGGGACAUCCAAGAUAACUCAAUUGCAUGGAUAACAAGUGCUACUCUUAUUUAUUGGGAGUUCAAUCCAGGCUGUUGACUAGAGCACAUUGGUUCUACCCUAUAGAGUUCCCAUGUGCAGGCCUGAGCAUCCUGUAUUUUUAUAUGCUAUAUCUGAUAACUCUAUGUGACGGCCUCAAAUGUGUAAGUUUAAGAUCACCUGAAAUGAUACUUCUAGUGGAGCAGGCCAAUAUCUAAGGAAGAAGCAAGGGAGGUCCCUGUCAGCUGCCAUACUCUUAGGUCAGGUCUGCAGAAAGUCUAGGGCAUAUGCACAAGUAUGGCCAUGCAACAUGGCAGACAGCACCAUGGGAGCACUGAGUCCCAAUGUCAGCAGGAGGCACUGGCUCAGUGACCAGUGGCACUGGUACAACAAAGUAGUGAUCAUAACAACCAGAAGAUACAAUGAGCUUCUCACCAGGGCCUUUUCCUUCUCUUUUACUCAUCUCUUAUCCUCUACCAACAAAUCUGAAAGGAAUAAGAAGUGGCCUAAAUUCAUGCAGGCAUUUGGGAUCCCACAAUAACCACAUAACAUCACACUGCCUGCUGCCAGAAGGGUCCCACAUCUCUCUCCCUCUCGAGUCAGUGGAAUACUGAGUCCCACAGCAGGAACAAGACGAGUUGGGUCUUGGGUCCCUUCAUCUCCCCACACCUUGGGGAGACUCAGCCCCUGCCACAGGGCACACCCACACCAUUCUCUGACUCCAAAUACCUGGAGGCAGGACCCUUAUCUGCCUGUUCUUAAACCAAUAUUGCAUCAAUUUAUUAUAAGAGCUUCAUAAAGUUUUUAUCUCUGCAAAAAAGAAGUCCCUAUUUCACUGCUUUGGUUUUGUUCUUGUUUUGCAGUGCUGGAAUCAAAUCCAGGGCCCCAAAUGCAGGCUAGGCA